rnacentral:rRNA from 1 species
CCUGAAAGAUUAUAGGAGGUCCAGCCUGCCCAGUGAUAAAAUUAAACGGCCGCGGUACCCUAACCGUGCGAAGGUAGCGCAAUCACUUGUUCUUUAAAUGAGGACUAGUAUGAACGGCAUCACGAGGAUUAUACUGUCUCCCUUCUUUAAUCAGUGAAACUGAUCCCCCCGUGAAGAAGCGGGAAUAAACAUAUAAGACGAGAAGACCCUAUGGAGCUUUAAACUUAACACCAUUUAUCUAAAACACUUCAUAAUAAACAGAUAAGCUUGUGCGCGUUUUAGGUUGGGGUGACCGCGGAGUAAAAUUUAACCUCCACGUUGAAAGGCCUUUAUCCUUAUCCAAGAGCCACAUCUCCAAGAAUCAACAAAUUGACAUUUAUUGACCCA